rnacentral:rRNA from 1 species
UACAGAGGGUGCGAGCGUUGUUCGGAAUUAUUGGGCGUAAAGCGCACGUAGGCGGCUUCUUAAGUCGGUGGUGAAAUCCUGGAGCUCAACUCCAGAACUGCCUUCGAUACUGGGAAGCUCGAGUCCGGGAGAGGUGAGUGGAACUGCGAGUGUAGAGGUGAAAUUCGUAGAUAUUCGCAAGAACACCAGUGGCGAAGGCGGCUCACUGGCCCGGUACUGACGCUGAGGUGCGAAAGCGUGGGGAGCAAACCGG